rnacentral:rRNA from 1 species
CCUACGGGAGGCAGCAGUAGGGAAUCUUGCGCAAUGGGCGAAAGCCUGACGCAGCCAUGCCGCGUGAAUGAUGAAGGUCUUAGGAUUGUAAAAUUCUUUCACCGGGGAAGAUAAUGACGGUACCCGGAGAAGAAGCCCCGGCUAACUUCGUGCCAGCAGCCGCGGUAAUACGAAGGGGGGCUAGCGUUGCUCGGAAUUACUGGGCGUAAAGGGCGCGUAGGCGGAUAGUUUAGUCAGAGGUGAAAGCCCAGGGCUCAACCUUGGAAUUGCCUUUGAUACUGGCUAUCUUGAGUUCGGGAGAGGUGAGUGGAAUGCCGAGUGUAGAGGUGAAAUUCGUAGAUAUUCGGCGGAACACCAGUGGCGAAGGCGACUCACUGGCCCGAUACUGACGCUGAGGCGCGAAAGCGUGGGGAGCAAACAGGAUUAGAUACCCUGGUAGUCCACGCUGUAAACGAUGAGUGCUAGUUGUCGGCAUGCAUGCAUGUCGGUGUACGCGAGCUACGACAUUAAGUACACCUCCGCCGUCGGGGUAGGUACGGUACGGCGAAGAAGUUAAAACGUUAAAACGUUAGUAAGUUAGUACGGUCGUCGAGACGUGCCGACGGACGACCGACCGACGGGAGGUUAGG